rnacentral:tRNA from 1 species
UCCGGGAUCGUCUAAUGGCAGGACACCUGACUCUGGAUCAGGCAAUCUAGGUUCGCAUCCUAGUCCCGGAACCA